UGGGGAAUUUUGGACAAUGGGCGAAAGCCUGAUCCAGCAAUGCCGCGUGUGUGAAGAAGGCCUUCGGGUUGUAAAGCACUUUUGUCCGGAAAGAAAUGGCUCUGGUUAAUACCUGGGGUCGAUGACGGUACCGGAAGAAUAAGGACCGGCUAACUACGUGCCAGCAGCCGCGGUAAUACGUAGGGUCCAAGCGUUAAUCGGAAUUACUGGGCGUAAAGCGUGCGCAGGCGGUUGUGCAAGACCGAUGUGAAAUCCCCGAGCUUAACUUGGGAAUUGCAUUGAUGACUGCACGGCUAGAGUGUGUCAGAGGGAGGUAGAAUUCCACGUGUAGCAGUGAAAUGCGUAGAGAUGUGGAGGAAUACCGAUGGCGAAGGCAGCCCCCUGGGAUAACACUGACGCUCAUGCACGAAAGCGUGGGGAGCAAACAGG
rnacentral:rRNA from 1 species